rnacentral:rRNA from 1 species
AGAGUUUGAUCCUGGCUCAGAAUGAACGCUGGCGGCGUGCCUAACACAUGCAAGUCGAACGAGAAAUUUCCCGCUUGCGGGAAAGAGUAAAGUGGCGCACGGGUGAGUAACGCGUGGGUAACCUGCCCCUGAAUCCGGGAUAACCCCGUGAAAACGGGACUAAUACUGGAUAUUGCUCUGCGAACUGUGGUUUGUGGGGUGAAAGGUGACCUCUUCAUGAAAGUUGCCGUUCGGGGAGGGGCUCGCGUACCAUUAGCUUGUUGGUGGGGUAAUGGCCUACCAAGGCUACGAUGGUUAGCUGGUCUGAGAGGAUGAUCAGCCACACUGGAAUUGAAAUACGGUCCAGACUCCUACGGGAGGCAGCAGUGAGGAAUUUUGCGCAAUGGGGGAAACCUUGACGCAGCAACGCCGCGUGAGUGAAGAAGGCCCUCGGGUCGUAAAGCUCUGUCAAGUGGGAAAAAAUACUUUCGAUUAAUAGUCGAGAGGACUGAUGGUACCACUGGAGGAAGCACCGGCUAACUCCGUGCCAGCAGCCGCGGUAAUACGGAGGGUGCAAGCGUUGUUCGGAAUUAUUGGGCGUAAAGAGCGUGUAGGCGGUUUGGUAAGUCAGAUGUGAAAGCCCUGGGCUCAACCCAGGAAGUGCAUUUGAAACUACCAUGCUUGAGUAUGGGAGAGGAGAGUGGAAUUCCCAGUGUAGAGGUGAAAUUUGUAGAUAUUGGGAGGAACACCGGUGGCGAAAGCGACUCUCUGGACCAAUACUGACGCUGAGACGCGAAAGCGUGGGGAGCGAACAGGAUUAGAUACCCUGGUAGUCCACGCCGUAAACGAUGAGAACUAGUGUAGCGGGUAUUGACCCCUGCUGUGCCGUAGCUAACGCAUUAAGUUCUCCGCCUGGGGAGUACGGCCGCAAGGCUAAAACUCAAAGGAAUUGACGGGGGCCCGCACAAGCGGUGGAGCAUGUGGUUUAAUUCGACGCACGCGAGACUACCUGGGGUUUGACAUCCUCUGACCGCCUGGAAACAGGAUUUUCGACUUGUCGAACAAAUGACAGUGCUGCAUGCUGUCGUCAGCUCGUUCUGAAUGUUGAUAAGUUCCCGCGACGAGCCAACCUGUUUU